GACCUUUUUCGAAAGGUAUACUUAAAGAGGGGCUUGCGGCACAUUAGUUAGUUGGUAGGGUAAAAGCCUACCAAGACCAUGAUGUGUAGCUGGACUGAGAGGUUGAACAGCCACAUUGGGACUGAGACACGGCCCAAACUCCUACGGGAGGCAGCAGUAGGGAAUUUUCGGCAAUGGAGGAAACUCUGACCGAGCAACGCCGCGUGAACGAUGAAGUAUUUCGGUAUGUAAAGUUCUUUUAUUGAAGAAGAAAAAAUAGUGGAAAAACUAUCUUGACGAUAUUCAAUGAAUAAGCCCCGGCAAACUAUGUGCCAGCAGCCGCGGUAAUACAUAGGGGGCGAGCGUUAUCCGGAAUUAUUGGGCGUAAAGGGUGCGUAGGCGGUUUGGUAAGUCUAUAGUUUAAUUUCAGUGCUUAACACUGUUCUGCUAUAGAAACUAUCAGACUAGAGUGAGAUAGAGGCAAGUGGAAUUCCAUGUGUAGCGGUAAAAUGCGUAAAUAUAUGGAGGAACACCAGAGGCGUAGGCGGCUUGCUGGGUCUUUACUGACGCUAAGGCACGAAAGCGUGUGGAUCAAACAGGAUUAUAUACCCUGGUAGUCCACCCCGUAAACGAUGAGUACUAAGUGUCGGGGAAACUCGGUACUGAAGUUAACACAUUAAGUACUCCGCCUGAGUAGUACGUACGCAAGUAUGAAACUUAAAGGAAUUGACGGGACUCCGCACAAGCGGUGGAUCAUGUUGUUUAAUUCGAAGAUACACGAAAAACCUUACCAGGUCUUGACAUACUCUGCAAAGCUAUAGCAAUAUAGUGGAGGUUAUCAGGGAUACAGGUGGUGCAUGGUUGUCGUCAGCUCGUGUCGUGAGAUGUUAGGUUAAGUCCUAAAACGAGCGCAACCCUUGUCACUAGUUGCCAGCAUGUUAUGAUGGGCACUUUAGUGAGACUGCCAAUGAAAAAUUGGAGGAAGGUGAGGAUCACGUCAAAUCAUCAUGCCCCUUAUGAUCUGGGCUACAAACGUGAUACAAUGGCUGUUACAAAGAGUAGCUAAAACGCGAGUUUAUAGCCAAUCUCAUAAAAGCAGUCUCAGUUCGGAUUGAAGUCUGCAACUCGACUUCAUGAAGUUGGAAUCGCUAGUAAUCGCGAAUCAGCAUUGUACGACCGGA
rnacentral:rRNA from 1 species